GUGACUGGCGACCGCUUCGAGUCGGAUUUUCACUUUGUGGCUCUUCCGGUAGGCAGCAGCUUUGCUGAUUUGUUCGCACUUCGGACGGCAAAAACUAGGACUGUCAGCCAACAUUAAAUCUUUCCGCUUGUGGUGCUAUUCAUUCCUGCCUGUCAUAUAAUGCGGAACAAGGAACCGGAAACAAGAGCGAGAUGGAUCUUAUUGUGUGGCGAAUUGACGAAACGCGUGUUUUGUUUCUCGUAAAACCAAGACCUGGCAAGUGAAAAGAAUCGGAGAAAAUCCGCAUAGCAGAACCUUAACAGUAGCAUAUAGCAGGAAUCUUAUUAUACGGAGAAAGAACAUCUAAACUACUUGCAAU